rnacentral:rRNA from 1 species
GUGUCAGCAGCCGCGGUAACACGUAGGGGGCGAGCGUUGUCCGGAUUUAUUGGGCGUAAAGAGCUCGUAGGCGGCUCAGUUAGUCGGGUGUGAAACCCCCGGGCUCAACCCGGGGUCGCCACCCGAUACUGCUGUGGCUAGAGUCCGGUAGGGGAGCGUGGAAUUCCUGGUGUAGCGGUGAAAUGCGCAGAUAUCAGGAGGAACACCAGCGGCGAAGGCGGCGCUCUGGGCCGGAACUGACGCUGAGGAGCGAAAGCGUGGGGAGCGAACAGGAUUAGAUACCCCAGUAGUCC